GGACAUGUGGCAGAGCGGUUUAAUGCACCAUACUUGAAAUAUGACGUACUUAGGUACCAUGAGUUCGAAUCUCAUCCUGUCCGCCA
rnacentral:tRNA from 1 species